rnacentral:rRNA from 1 species
CGAACCUGCGAAGGCAAGCGGAUCUCUUAAAGCCGUUCUCAGUUCGGACUGUAGGCUGCAACUCGCCUACACGAAGCUGGAAUCGCUAGUAAUCGCGGAUCAGCACGCCGCGGUGAAUACGUUCCCGGGCCUUGUACACACCGCCCGUCACACCAUGAGAGUCUGUAACACCCAAAGCCGGUGGGAUAACCUUUAUAGGAGUCAGCCGUCUAAGGUAGGACAGAUGAUUAGGGUGAAGUCGUAACAAGGUAAC